rnacentral:rRNA from 1 species
CAGUAGCCACGGGAAUACGUAGGGUGCAAGCGAUAAUCGGAAUUACUGGGCGUAAAGCGUGCGCAGGCGGUUCUAUAAGACAGAUGUGAAAUCCCCGGGCUCAACCUGGGAACUGCAUUUGUGACUGUAGAGCUGGAGUACGGCAGAGGGGGAUGGAAUUCCGUGUGUAGCAGUGAAAUGCGUAGAUAUGCGGAGGAACACCGAUGGCGAAGGCAACCCCCUGGGCCUGUACUGACGCUCAUGCACGAAAGCGUGGGGAGCAAACAGGAUUAGAUACCCCCGUAGUCCCUGUCUCUUAUAC